GAUGAUAUUGAUGAUGAAAUGUCUUACGAUGAUCAUUUAGAGGUUUAUUUUGAACAACUGGCAAUUCCAGGAAUGAUGGAAUAAAGCAUACGAAGUAGAAGGACUGGAACCUCCAGAAAAAGUACUUUAAGUUACCUACAGGUGAUCCUAGUCAGGUAUGAAUUGAUAAGAAAUGCCUGCACCUUCCCUCCUUCCUAUCUUUCCCUUGCCUACAGAAAAUUAAAAGGCAAAACAAUAGACAUCUGCAUAUUCUUCAUUCAGAUCAACCAGUGGCUAGCAUUUGCCACCUUUUGCAGUUUCUUUCUCUUUCCAUAAGUACUUUCUUCUCUGAAUCAUUUGAAAGCAAAUGAAAACAGUAGCCUAAAGUGUCAGUUUCAACCAGAAAAUAACAGCUCUGAUUUCUCAUGGCUCAUACUCGUCUGAAACGACUCAGGUAGAGGCUGAGGAAGGCCGUGUUGUUUGUCUACCUGGGACUACUCAUGCCUAUAAUCCUAGCAUUUUGGGAGGCCAAAGAGGGAGAAUUGCUUGAGCCCAGGAGUUUGAGACCAGACUCUACACAC
rnacentral:lncRNA from 1 species